rnacentral:rRNA from 1 species
UACGAAGGACCCGAGCGUUAUCCGGAUUUAUUGGGUUUAAAGGGUGCGUAGGCGUCCUGGAAAGUUACGGUUGAAAUCUCCUUGCUCAACAAGGAAACUGGCCGUAAAACUAUCAGGAUUGAGUACAUUUGAAGCGGGCGGAAUGUGUCAUGUAGCGGUGAAAUGCUUAGAUAUGACACAGAACACCAAUUGCGAAGGCAGCUCGCUAAACUGUAACUGACGCUGAGGCACGAAAGCGUGGGUAGCAAACA